rnacentral:lncRNA from 1 species
AUGCAAAUGAAGUUAGGAGUUUCGUUUUGUGAAAGGUAUUAAUUAAGAAUUAGCAAAAAUUAGUAAGAAUAAAAUAAAAAAGUCUUUGUUAAACUAAAAGUGCUUAUAAGCCAAAAACUAUUAAGUUGAAUUGAUUUUGAUUUAUAGCUUUAUCUCAAAUCCCAAGAUAAGUUAAAAAGUACUUAUAAGCUAAUUUGAUGAACUUAUAAACUUAGCCAAACACACUUUUAGGCUACAAAAUGAUCGAAGCAUGCUAUUUGGUUCAUUUCUUUACGAAUUUUUGCCAUAAAAAGUCAUUUCAAAAUUACGCCAAGGAUACAGAUGAUCAAAUACAAGCUUACGGAUCAGGUGACCAUUCAAAAAUCCCACUCUUAUCCUAUGGAACAAAUCUAGUGGCGCAUGCCUUGAGUAGUAUUUUGCGCAAACGGUGUAGACCUAUAGUCACAAUUCAGCUCGUAAGUAAAUUUGGGUUUGUGAUCAGAGACUGAGUCAGAAUUUCUAUCUUAUGGGUUUUGAAUUUUAGAAUAACAACUUUAACUGUUAAUGACUGAGUCUAAAUUGAAUAUUUAUACAUAUUUAAUGAAUUCUAAACACCAACUACACUAUUUGAGAAAAAAUUAUUUUGUUCGACCAAACUCGUAGCUUGGCUUGUGCCACUCCCUUAUCUGUGAUUGCGGUGGUUUUAACAAGUUACUUCAUGUACCAAAUUGAUAUUUACUGUGUAUUUUCAAGCGGUAUCUCAGCCUAUUGUAUAUAUCAAUACAUAUUGUUUUUCAGAUAAUUAUAUACACAUAAAAAAAUCACAAAACGAUGUGGCCAUGCCAAUGAGAACAACCCUCAAAAGCUAGAAAUUAACACAAACGUAAACUACACAUGCGUAACAAUUACUUAAGAAUUACUCACCAGAAGCAAACAUAAGAAGAAAGCAAAAGAGGACAGCACAGAUACUUAUUUUGCUAACUUUAGGUUGAGCCAUUUCUUAAAACUUUUUGAGAUGCUUUGUGAAAUCAAGUUUAUCAGAGGGUCUACUUAUAGUGACACAAAAACAAUUUUUUAACAUACACUUGUGCUUAAUUAACCUUUAACACGCAAAAUAAAGAAAAUGUCAAGUUAACGUUUUGAACUGAUCAAAUGUUUUCCUUCUUGAACCACCAUGAAAGUAACAAGAACUUACUACUGAAUAAAAAAAGUAAUAAUAUUGAUCAAGGUAAAUUACAAAGACUUACUGGAAGCCUGAUGAUAGUCUUUUAUUAAUUAUUCUUUUCUAUGGUUUGUUGCUUUUUCCCCUUCUCUCUCUUAUUUUGAAAUAUUAGUAGUAAAUUGAAUUAUUAAGGGUUUGUCACCCUACACGUAACGGUAACUCAUUAUUUGUGAAAAAUACUAAUGGAUUCAACUAAUAUUAUUGAUAGUGUAAACAAUUUUAUAUAAGUGUUGAAUUUUAUCAUGUUGUAGCAUAUAAUUUGCCUUUUUUUUCAAGUUACUUAUUCCAUUUUAUGGACUAUAGUAUAUAGUUAUCUUCUAUGUGAUUUGAUUGUGGAAUUAUUCAAUAACACUAUUAUAUUAGUGUAUAGAAGUUGAACGCUAAACUAAUUCAGCUUGUAACAGUACAUCAUCUUGUUAAAAAAUAAAAGUAAUGAAAACAAACUUCAAGCUUAAAUACUUGUAUGACUUAAAACUAAUAGUCGACACAAGUGGUUGAGAAACUUGUAGGAAAAAUGACACUGUGUAGCCGCUGUAAAAAUAAUAGCCGAAAAAAUGUAUAAAAUUUGUAUAUUUUUUGUAUAUAUAUACAUUCGGUAUGUUAUAUACAAACAUUAUACAAAUUUUAUAUACUUUUUCGGCUACCAAAUAUAAAUAGUUUUUGGCACGGGCAAAAAAUGAUAAUACCCCAAACUUGUACAGGAGAACAAAACCCAAGUGGAAUUGGUAGAGACAGAAAGUUGUACUGUAAAAAAGGAAUUAAAGAUCAAGUUGCUUCAAGUUUGAAAUUUUCAAAACUUUAGUAAUGUAUUUGUUGGAUUAUAAUGAAACUAAGAUACAAUUGCAUGUUAAAUUAAUUGAUAUCUACUCUCUAAGGAAGCACGUAGCAAUCAAUAGGAGUGAGAAUCAGUCGAUCAGUUCAGUUCAAUUUUUCUUUUAUUUUCGAUUCAAUUCCAUUUUUCUUAAUUUUGACUUAAUUAAAUCAGUUCGAUCAUGUCUGCUUGAGACUUAUUUGAACCUUUGUAAUUAAGUUGGGCUUUUGAUUAAACCUUUAUGCUUACUUGAUAAGUUAUGCGAGUGUGAUUUUGAUUAUUUGUCAAAUUACAUGUAAAAACUAGAUAGGAACCUAAUACAAUCAGUUGCUCUUGUGCUCUUUGCAACAUACCUUGUUGAUUGGUUUAAUUCUCAGGGAAAACAAAUGAGGGAACAGCAUAGGGAACAUACAGGAUCAGUUCUUCAGUUCGUCGCGCAAGUUCGUCGCGCAAGUCAAUUCUAUAGUUGUUAAAGCUGUUGCACUGUACUUGCAACAGUACAGCAGCACAACUGCAAUUUACUAAACCGGAAAUGCCCUUGUAACUAACCUCAUCAUCUCACAUAUAUAAACAACAUGUUACAAGGUAUUGACCUAAUACUUGCAAUUACAAAAACACAUAUUUUUCAACUGCGCAGCCGCCUUUGUUUCCCUCAAGUACAUUGAAGAACAAAGCAGCUACAAAACAAAGGACCAGAUCCCAACAUUGAAUAUGUCAUGUGUUCUUUAGUAUUGUUAUGUCUUUGUCUUAUGUUUUUUAUUUAUAAUUCCGACACAACAUUUUUAGAAGUAUUUAGUAGGACAUUAUUUAACUGUCAUUGCUUUUGGUUGUUGUCUAGAGUUAGUCAAGAGAGUGACUUUAUAAUAGAGUUAUUACAAAGAGCUUACAAUAGAAUUAUUGUAAGAGGUGAGGGAUUAAGAGUUUAAUUCCUAGAUUGUAAUAGGUUGUAAUUUGAAGUUUGCUCGGUUAGUGAAGUUGAAAUCCUACCAAGGUAGGUCGUGAUUUUUAAUCCCGUGAACUGGGAGUUUUUCACAUAAAUAUUGUGUGUUUUUUACUUACUGUUGCUUACUGUGGCAACUGAUAGAGAACCUGGUUCUCUAUACUGUUUAGUGGACCCUUAGUUUCUAUCAAUUAGUAUCGGAGCGGGCACUUUCUAAAAGGUUGACACCUAGAAAGGAUCUUCAUGGUUGCUCCACCAAACUUCAAGGAAGGACAAUCAACCUACAGACCACCAAAAUUCAACGGCCAAUACUAUGGUUGGUGGAAAAUAAGAAUGCACGAAGCUUGUAGAAUUUAUUUCGGCGUGUCCUUCUUCGAUUACCGAUCUCGAAAGUUGAACUACAUUCCCCGAGCCCGUAUCAUCUACCUCGACCGAUGACCCCAAAUUCGCCAGUGCGUCGGCCUCACUAUUCUGUUCCCGUGGCACAUGUCGUAAAGUCCAUCGUUUGAAAUGGCGCAAAGUUAUAAGUAGUUUAUCUAAAUACCUCUGCAUUCUACCUUCUCGAACUUUUGAAAGUUUUGUUUNNNNNNNNNNNNNNNNNNNNNNNNNNNNNNNNNNNNNNNNNNNNNNNNNNNNNNNNNNNNNNNNNNNNNNNNNNNNNNNNNNNNNNNNNNNNNNNNNNNNNNNNNNNNNNNNNNNNNNNNNNNNNNNNNNNNNNNNNNNNNNNNNNNNNNNNNNNNNNNNNNNNNNNNNNNNNNNNNNNNNNNNNNNNNNNNNNNNNNNNNNNNNNNNNNNNNNUGACAAAUGAGGUUUUUUCCUGGUCCUCCGGGUUCAUAUAUAUUUGAUUAUACCCGGAAUAGGCAUCGAGAAAAGUGAGGAUCUCGUGGCCGGCUGUGGCAUCGAUCAAGCGAUCAAUGUUGGGCAACGGAAAAGAAUCUUUGGGGCAUGCUUUGUUCAAAUCCUUAUAGUCCACGCACAUUCUAAGUUUGUCCCCUUUUUUAGGGACUACAACUACGUUGGCUAACCAUUCGGGAUAUUUUACCUCCCGAAUGGACCCUAUUUUGAGUAGUUUGGUUACCUAGUCCUUUAUGAAGGCGUUCUUUCUAUCGGACUGGGGUCUUCUUUUUUGCUUCACCGGUCUGAACCUAUGGUCCAAACUUAGCUGAUGCGUCGUUAUGUCCGGCGGGAUCCCUGUUAUAUCUAAAUGGGACCAGGCGAAACAAUCGAUGUUAUUGAUAAGAAAUUGAACGCGUUUCUUCCUGAGUUCGGGGCUCAACCCCGUUCCCAAGUAUACCUUUUGCUCGGGCCAGCGCUCGAUUAAUAUGAAUUGCUCUAGCUCCUCGAUCGUCGAUUUUGUGGCAUCGGAGUCAUCGGGAAUUACGAAAGAUCGAGGGACCCUUUGGUCCCCAUCCUCUUCGACUGAUAGAAAGAACAUUGAGAAGAACUUCAAGGCAGAGAAGAUUCUUGUCGGUGGUAUUAGACCAGAUGAUUACAACUUCAUCUCAGCUUGUCAGUCUACUAAGGAGAUCUGAGAAGCUAUCUAAAUUGCCCAUGAUAGAACUACUCUGGUUACGCAGUCCAAAAUUGAUAUGCUUACUACUGAGUUUGUGCUUUUCAAGAUGAAGGAUGAUAAGUCUAUUCAGGACAUGCACACAUAUUUCACCUCCACUAUCAAUGAUCUUCACUCCCUUGGAGAAGUCAUCCCAAGAAAUAAGUUGGUUCAAAAAAUACUCAGUGUGUUACCAAGUUCCUGGGAAAGUAAAGUAAAUGUUAUCAGUGAAGUCGAGGAUCUGUAGAAGCUUACUGUUGAUGAACGCAUUUGUAAUAUAAAAACCUAUGAGAUGAAGAAGAAGAAGAAAGAUCUUGAAAGAAUAAAGCCCAAAAAGGAGAAGAGCCUGGUUCUCAAGGCUGACAACAGUGACUCAAGUGGUGAUGAGACAAACAUGGCCUAUCUUACUCGAAGAUUCCAAAAAAUGGUUCGUAGAAAUGGAGCAAUUCCCUAGAGAGGUAGUUCUAGCAGAAAUACCAAAGAAAAUGAUUAUUGUCAUAAGUGUGGAAAGCUAGGACAUUUUAUCAAAGAGUGUCCUCUUCACAAUGUCGAGGGUCUAUCGGAAACAACAUCUCUAUCUCUUUGAGGCAGGGGUAAGGUCUGUGUACACACUACCCUUCCCAAACUCCAUUUAUGGGAUCAAACUGGAUUUCUUGUUAUUUUUUUAGUGUCCUCUUCACAAGAAGGACCACUACAAAUACAACGCUGACAAACCACAUAAGAAAUUGUGGAAGAGGAUGAAGGUGUUGAAGUGUUGAUUUAGCAUAUUGAGGAAGGAGGAGUGGAUGAAAAAUCAGAUUCUCAUGUUGCUGAAGGGUCACAUGCAUCUGAGUUUUAUGCAGUUCAAUGUAUUGAAGGGGUUAUUUCUACAUCAGGUAAUCUUCCAUCCCCUACUAUUGUUACAGAAGUUUUGGAUAGAGAGGGUGAGAAAAUAGGGAGUGAUACACUCAAAGAAGGCUCUGUUUCUCUUGAAAAAGAGCAUGUUACUGUGGAGACAUUGGUUCAGCAGUCUAUGUAUGAUGCUGUUGGUGAAGAGACUUUGGGGGGACCACUAAAUCAAAGGGGAAAACAUGGUAAGGGGAUCAAGUAUCUGUUAGUUCUAUAGGGGAACCUACAGAGGGACCUGGUCCCUCUGCCCAAGGGGAGAUUUCUGCUCCUACUCGGGAUGAAACUUCUAGCUAUACAAGACAGCCCCCUGGAUAGUGCUGUCACGACCCCUUUUGACCACCCUAUUAGUGUUCUAUUGGAUGUUAUUUACCUAGAAAAGAAGUCUUUGUCUUAGGAAAAUUCUAGUGAGAGUGAUGAUGAUACUGAUGAUCUGCAUGUGAUACGGUAUAUAGCUGCUAGGGAUGGGUUAAAGGCCAUAAAGGAUUCUAUUCCCAAACGUCCCACUACUAGACUGUAGAGAAAUGAUGCACUUGACAUUGCCUUGAAAGUAAAUAAGGAGAAGAAGAAGAAGAGGAAGAGGCUUUUGAAAUGUCGGUUGAUUAAUGAGGACGAUACGUCUGAUGUAGUGGAGGUAGAUGAUGAGAAGCCUGUUAGGGAACCCUCUCCUCUUGUUAGAAAAAACUCUAAGAAAACCGCUGCUGCCAAGCAGAAGAAAAUAAUAUCUGAAAAAGAACUUGUGAGUGACAAAGAUGAUGAAGUAGAGGAGGAAGGAGAAGUGAAGAAAGAGAAAGUAGAGAAGAAGAAGCCUCUUAGAAAGAGGUAGAGUACUAGUGAAGAACCUAGUUCCUCCAAAAGUCCAAGGGUGGAAUUAUCUGAGUUAGAGAAGAGGGCAAAUCUGAAGAAGCAAAAGGCUAUGCGGGGCCGAGUCAUUGAUCCUGAGAUUCUUGAACAACCAAGCAUGAGACACCUGGUAUAAAUUGUGGAAUUCCAGAAGUGGACCCAUCUAUUUGAAGACAAAAGUCCAAAAGUUUAUGAAGAUGAGGUGAGAAGCUUCUAUGAUGACUUGUUUGUAGUAUAUGGGGACACAAUUUAUUUGAAGGUGAAUGGAAAGGGCUUUGUUAUGGAUGAGCACUUGCUGGGUGAGAUUCUUGAGGUACCUACCGUUGGGCUGAAGAAUAUGGAGGGAACUGGUUCCCCUGACUUUAAGAAGUUAAUCAUCAUGAAACAAGUUGUUCAGAUGGGGGAAAGAGUGCACAAGAAGGCAUUUAUGUCAACAUACCAACUGUUGUUUGAGUUGAUGAACAAGGUGCUGCUACCUAUGGCUUAGAGGAAGUCUAUUGCCUCCAUUACAGACCUGGAUUAUCUGGAAGCACUAGACUCCUUCUCUUCCAUCAGUCUGCCUGUGAUUAUGAUUGAACAUAUGCUGAAGGGGGAAGAUUUCAAGGAUGGGAAUCAUGGUCUCCCCUAAGGGUUCCUCCUUAACAAAGUCUUUGAACACUUUGAAGUUCCCUUGGGAAAAGCAUUUGUGGGGACAAGAAAGCAAAUGUUCACUAUGAAUACUUUGGAAGAGUGUGUGUGUGUGCACGGUUAAGAAGGGAGGAAUAGGAAGCAACUCCACUGUAGAGAUUAAGCGUCUCUCAGCUGAUCGAUGCUCAGGAGGCUACCAAUGCAGAGAUUAAGCAUCAUGCACACAGUGCCAUUCUAGAGUCUAAGCUUAUCAGGCUAGCAUGGAACCUAGUUCCAGCAGUGCUCAGAGUGAAGAGGUUUCCCGUUUGAAGGCUAAAAAUGUUGAGUUGACGAAACAAGUGGAGAACAUGAAGGAGUAGCUGAUCAAUGAUCAAAAGGUUGCUAAUGAUCGCAUGGAUAGUCUCAUCAAGGCUCUUGCUCUAUAAUCCUUCCUAUUCCCCAUCCAGUGUCCUUUGUUUUGCACCCUUCCAAGUCCUCUCCUAAUCAUGUCCUUUUAUUGCUUCUAAUUAUUGACUAUGGUUCUUUAGUUUUUUGAUUUGUAAUAUUUGUGUGACUAUGGUACUGCUACUCCUAUGUUUUCUUUCCCUCUUAUAAUUAAUGAGAAUGACUGCCUAUUUUAUGCAAUGUUAUACUCUUGUGUUCUAUUUUUAGUCAUGUUGUGUGCACAUAAGUGGCAUGAGUUAAAGUUGCUGGACUUCUUUUUGCAUAUGCCUGUCUAAUUCUUUUAAUGAUGCCAAAAGCGAGAAGAUAAUUUAAGGGGGAAACGGGUUCUCAAGGGGAAGGUGUCUGAUUUAUAGGGGGAACUUGUGGAAAUCUGGUUCUCUGAAGGGAAUAUCAACUCUAAGUUUGUCAUCAUUAAAAAUGAAAAAAUUGAUAAGAUAUACGAGUGUGGUUUUGAUUAUUUGUAAAACUUAAUGGAAGAACUAGAUAGGAACCCGAUACAAUUAGUUCCCUUGUGCUAUUUCCAACAUACCCUAUUAACUAGUUUAAUUCUCAGGGAAAACAAAUGAGGGAAAUGCAGAGGGAACAUAUAGGAUCAAUUCCUCAGGUCAUCGCGCAAGUCAACUCUACAGUUGUUAAAGUUGUUGCACUGUACUUGCAACAGUACAACAACACAACUUUAAUUUGCUAAACUGAAAAUGCCUUUGUAACUACCCUCAUGAUCUCUCAUAUCUAAACAACAUGUUACAAGGUGUUGACCUAAUAUUUGUAAUUACAAAAACACAAAUUUUCUCAAGUGUGCAGCCGCCUCUAUUUCCCUCAGGUACAUUGAAGAACAAAACAGCUACAAAAUAAAGGACCAGAUCCCAACAUUGAAUAUGUCGUGUGUCCUUUAGUAUUGUUGUGUCUUUGUCUUAUGUUAAUUCAAGAAGAGGCUCUUGGGAAGCUUGCCAAGCACUUGCUUGUGUCUGUUAUUACUGUGGCUAAGGGAAAAGUCAGAAGCCCAAAUUUUCCUUAAUAGCAAUAAUAAUACUUUUUCAGAUAACAGUCAUAAUAAAUAAGCAUUAUGGAGGAUAACACAUGAAGUCAAUAUAUAUGUCGCUAAGAGACAUAGUACUUGUGCUUCCUUCAUAUAUUUCAUGGCUCUUAGUUUGUUGUGAUAAUCUUUUUGGCACUCGUUAUUAGUAUUUCUUGUUUUCUACUAUUUCUUUACUUCUUUCCUAAGUCGAGUAUCUAUCGGAAAUAACAUCUCUACCUUUCCAAGGUAGGGGUAAGAUCUGUGCACGCACUACCCUCUCUAAACCCCACUUGUGGGACGUUACUGGGUCAGUUGUUAUGUUAUUAUUUAUAGCUAAGAGACAUAGUACUUGAAUUUUUAUCCCUAUUAUCUGUUCAUUUAUAUUACAAGAAAAGCAAGGUCAAAACCAAGCUCAAUAAAUUACAAAGAGUUUAAAUUCUAUGCACUGAAAAAUAUUUAUAUAAUUAAGUCAUUCAUUAUAUAAUUACAAUUACUUUUUUUGAUAAUCAUUAAUUGGCAUUUUGAUAAAAUUGUAACUAACUUGCCAUCCCCCAUUAAAAUUUAAUUAAAUCUAAUUGCAAAUACAAGGGUGCUACUAUGUAGGGCGUCCACUUUGUGAUCCAGGAUUUUAUAUCUUUUUAUGACAAAAUUAUUAUAUAAAUAGUGGGAAAGGAAAAGCAUAUCAAAUAUUUCCAAACACAUGCUCAUAAUAUUUCACAUUAGCACAUCAAGUGUGAUGACCCGAUAGGCCAUUUACAGUUUUAACCUUAAAUUCUGUAUUUUAAAACUUCGAAUAGCUCCGUUUAGCCUUCCUCGAUUUACGUCCGUAGUCAGUGUCUUUUCCCGGAAGGUUUUAUGUGAAAAUUUGAUUAAAAUGUAAAAUCGUGCCUUAAAAACUCAUUUGAGUUGACUUCGGUCAACCUUUUGAUCAAACAGACCCGGAUUAGUAUUUUGACGGUCCCGGUGAGUCCGUAUCGUGAUUUGGGACUUUGGCGUAUGCCCGGAAUCGAAUUCGGAAGUCCCUACCUCGAAUUAUCUUAAUUUAUUAAAAACUAGAAACUCUAAGGUUUAAAGAAUUAAUAAGUUUGAUCGUAGUUUGAUUUUAUUUCUACAUGGUACGGAACUUGGUAUAGGUUCAGUACUGUAUUUAUGACUUGUCUGCAAAAUUUGGUGCAAAAUGGAGUUGAUUUGACGUGAUUCGGACGCCCGGUUGAAAAAUUAAAAGUUUGUAUGUUUUAUUGAAAAUUUCAUUCGUUUUGUUGUCCAAUGCAUAGUUCUAGGUGAUAUUUUGGUGUUUUGAUCACGCUAGCGAGUUCAUAUAAUAUUUUUGGACUUGUGUGCAUGUUUGGUUUGGAGCCACAAGGGCUCGGGUGAGUUUCAGAUAGGCUACUGAGUGAUUUCAGACUUAGUAGAAUAGCUGAUGCCUUUUAUGUUACUAGUGCUUUGCUGUAGGUCUCGCAUUUGUGAGAUAUGGAUUGCAUUUACGAGCCUUGCUUCUGCGAACAAGGCUUCGCAUUUGCGAGCAUGGGCUGAUUGGGGGAUGUUCGCAUUUGCGAGGUGAAAGUUCGUAUUUGCGAACUUGCUUCUUCCGCUUUUGCGAAGAAAAAGUCGCAUUUGCGACUCAACGUGUUUCUGGGAAAUAUUCGCAUAUGCGAAGCGUGGUCCACAUUUACAUGGGCGUGGGUUCGCAUUUGCGACAAAAGCAUCGCAUUUGCGAUGACUGUCAUUUCUGAGAAGGUUUCGUAUUUGCGACCGCUUUCUCGCAUUUGCGAUGUUGGUAAUUGCGACAUCUACAGCUGGUAAAAGAGGGGAUAAGCGGGAUUUUAGCUCAUUCUUCUAAAUUCUCAACGCUAAAAACCUUAGAGGCGAUUUUCCUAAGAGCUUUUCUUCCUUAAUUCAUUGGUAAGUAACUCUAACGUACUUUCUUUCAAUUACUCAUUGCAUUUCAUAAGAUUUCAACCUUAAUUCUAGGAUUUUCAUGGUAGAAAUUAUGGAUUUGGAUAGAAUUAGGGAGUUUUAUAAAAUUGGGAUUUAGACCUCGAAUUGAGGUCGGAUUUUGAAUUGAAUUGCAUAACCGGGCUCGGGGGUGAAUGAGUGAUCGGGUUUUGGUCCGAUCCUCAGGUCUUUCAUUCGUGAGUAGUUUGUAAAGCUUAAUUUGAAUCGUUUGGUUAAUAAUUUGCUAUAUUUUGGUUGGUUUGGAGGCUUGUUCGAAAGGGAAGUAAAUACAUCAUCUGCUUGAAAAUUACAUAAACAGAGUUUUGUGAAUCUAAGGCUACCUUGAACAAGAGGCAGCUACAACUGGAAUGCAAGUACAUCAUCAGAUCUACUCCCUACCAAACACAGCAACAUCAGCAGCCAGCAUCUGCAAGCAAGGUACAGAAGUAUAGUAUGAGUACAACCGACUCCAUGUACUCAAUAAGUAACAAACAUAACCUUAGGUUAAAAGUAGUGACGAGCUUGUACCAAGGUUAGAGUCCAACUCAAAUACCCAACAAUAGUUCAUAACAACAUAACGCAAGUAAUAAAAGAAGUAACUCAAAGAUAAAAUGCUCAGCGUAAUCAUGAUAUCUAAAAAUAGUUCUGCCUUUCAAGUAUAUCAGUGAAAACCCAAAUCGUUCACUGAAGUUGCCAAAAAUAUGAGUAAGUUUGAAAACAGUAAUUUUCCCAAAAAUCCUUUCAAUAAUAAAUAAGAUGUCUCAUUUUCUUUCCAUAUAUCCAGUGUAAAACAAAUGCAUCACUAUGCCCAUAUAUCAACAUGUGUGAGAAGUUAUGAAUGACGUGAUACCGUAAAGCAUGAGGAAAAUACAUCUCUAUGGUUGUAUGUCAUGUGGGCAUAUCAAUGCAAUGUAUCUCAAAGAUGAACUCAUGUACUUACACUCUCAGAGUACUCAAUCUCACUUUCUCACACAUUUCACUCAUCAUGCUCAAUCACUCGGUACUGUAUAUGACCAAUCUGGCCCAGGGAAGAUCCAUUCCUGAAUAUACACAUCAACUGAUCAUCAGUCACUCAGUACCGAGUUGGGCCAAUCCAUCUUGUGGAGAAGAUCCAUUUUCAGGUAUAUAAUGCUUCGUACAAGAUCCAUGUACAUGGAAGAUCCAUCCCUCAAUAAUAUCAACCACGCUCACUAGGGGUGUGAAGACUCCGGAGGGGCUCCUUCAGGCAAGCACUAUAUCGUUGUGGCGUGUAGCCCGAUCCCAUAAAAUGUAAUCAAUAUAACAUGCUGCGGCGUGCAGCCCGAUCCCAAAAUAUCACUCUCACUCAGGCCCUCGGCCUUACUCAGUCAUCAAUCUCUCCAAUCUCACUCACGGGCUCACAAUGCAAUGAAACUAGCCCGACAACAAUGAUAUGAUGCAUCAAUAAAUAAUAACUGAGACAGUGAUAUGGUAUGAAUGCAUGGAUAUGAUUGAGUACGAAAUAUCAAUGAAAUCAGUGAGAUGACAGUAAGAAACGACCACUAUUGGUCUAAACAGUAUCGGCAUAAUGCCUAAACAUGAUAUAUAGCAUGGUUGACAGCUUAACUACUUUAUCAUAUUGUGGAAACACGGAUAUCAACAAAGUUGGACCACUAUACAGUGCCAUAGAAGCAACAGAGUCCAAAUUCACAUGGUUCACGCCCACACGCCUGUCACCUAGCAUGUGCAUCACCUCAAUAUCGAUCAUAUAAUGCGUAUUACAGGGUUUCAUACCCUCGGCACUAAGUUUAGAAGAGUUACUUACCUCGAACAAGCCAAUACCAAUGUCGAGCAAGCCAAGCGAUGCUUUGAAGAUGACAUCACACGCAUAGAGANNNNNNNNNNNNNNNNNNNNNNNNNNNNNNNNNNNNNNNNNNNNNNNNNNNNNNNNNNNNNNNNNNNNNNNNNNNNNNNNNNNNNNNNNNNNNNNNNNNNNNNNNNNNNNNNNNNNNNNNNNNNNNNNNNNNNNNNNNNNNNNNNNNNNNNNNNNNNNNNNNNNNNNNNNNNNNNNNNNNNNNNNNNNNNNNNNNNNNNNNNNNNNNNNNNNNNNNNNNNNNNNNNNNNNNNNNNNNNNNNNNNNNNNNNNNNNNNNNNNNNNNNNNNNNNNNNNNNNNNNNNNNNNNNNNNNNNNNNNNNNNNNNNNNNNNNNNNNNNNNNNNNNNNNNNNNNNNNNNNNNNNNNNNNNNNNNNNNNNNNNNNNNNNNNNNNAAUUGGCCAAAAUUCACACCUGGGCCCACGCCUUGCAACCCGAAAUAACUCACAAAAUCUGACACCCCAUUCAAUUAAGAGUUCAACCAUGCUAGUUUCACUCAAAUCCGACUCCAAUUCGAUGUUCAAAACUCAAACAUUCACAUUAUGAAACUUUAGGCAAAACCCCCCAAUUUCCUCUUUAAAAUUCACAAUCCAAUUACCAAAAAUGAAGGUAGAUUCAUGAAAUAUAACCAAAACCAAGUAGAGAACACUUAACCCAAUCCUUGUGAUGAAAAUUGAUCCAAAUAUUGCCUCAAUCCGAGUCCCACAUCUCAAAAUAUGAAGAAUGAACCAAAACCUUGAUUUAUAGCUUUUGCCAGCAUUUUCGCACCUGCGGCACAUUAGCCUCUUCUGCGACCCAAAACACGUUUAUGCGGACAAGAACUGGAGGUCUGUCUUUGCAUCUGUGGUAGAAACUCCGCUACUGCGCACACACAGGUGCAAGUCUAAAUUGCGUUCCUGCGCUGACUUUCGCUUCUGCGCCCUUUCACACCGCAUCCGCGCCUUCGCAGAUGCGAAUGAAACUUUGCUUUUGCGGACUCCUACUCCCAGCAACACCUCCGCUCCUGCGACUCGUUUGUCACUUCUGCGGCCAUCGCACCUGCGCAAACCAGCCGCAGGUGCGAUCACACCAGAACCAACAGCUUAGCAAAAGUCAAAAAAUACAUUGAAAUGAUCCGAAUCUCGUCUGAAAUUCACCCUAGCCCCUCGGGACCCCAUCCGAACAUGCCAACAAGUUCCAUAACACAAUACGGACCUACUCGAUGCCUCAAAACACACAUAACAACAUCAAAAUAAUGAAUCACUCCUCAAAUAGAAAUCUAUGAACUUUGAACUUUUCAACUUUAAUAACUCGUGCCGAAACAUAGCAAAUCAACCCGGAAUGAACCCAAAUUUUGCACACAAGUCCUAAAUGAUAAAACGAAGCUAUUCCAAUUCCUGGAAUCACAAUCCGAAUUCCAUAUCAAAAAGUCCACUCCCGGUCAAACUUAUCAAAAAAUCAACUUCCGACAUUUCAAGCCAAAUUCCACUACGGCCUCCAAAUCACAAUCCGGACGAGAUUCUAAGUCCAAAAGCACCCAACGGACCUACCGAAACCAUCAAAACUCCGUUCCGGGUUCAAAUUCACAAAAAGUCAAACUUGGUCAACUUUCCUAAGUUAAAGCUUCAACAAUGAAAUCCAUUCUUCCAAUUCGAUUCUGAAUAACCUGAAACCAAAACCGAAGAUUCACAUAAGUCAUAAUACAUCAUACGGAGCUACUCAUGCCCAUAAACUACCGAGCGAAGUGCAAAUGCUCAAAAUAACCGGUUGGGUUGUUACACUUUAAUUGUCAUUUACGUGACUUGUCUUACUGCUUUAUAUUAAUUAUAGUGGAUUCCUAAGUUGGCACGAUACUUCUUUUUUGGUUUUGCUUCAUGUUCGUUAAUCAUAGAGAUUCUUGUGAUUCGAGUUGUUAAAUUGAUUGCGCUCAUUGAUUUAUUUAUAUUGAUAUGGUGGGAUCAGGUUACGUGCCGCAACAGGUGGAAUAAGGGUUGAUUGAUAUGGUGAAAUGAGGAUGAAUUAAUAUUGAUAUAGUACGAUCGGGUUGUGCGCCGCAACAGGUGAAAUAAGGGUUAUUACGAUAUUGAUUCUGACUAUAUGGUGGGAUCAGGUUGUGCGCCACAAUAUAUAUAUAUAUAUAUAUAUAUAUAUAUAAUAAAGGGAGGAUAGUACGGUGGGAUCAGGUUGCGUGCCAUGACAAUUUAUGUGUUUCUAUUCCUUAUUGUAUUGUGUUGGCUUCGGUACUUUCAUACGGGAAUCUAAGGAUUGGUAUUUCUGGCAUUUACUGGUUUUCUUUAAAGAUUGAAUUAUUUUCAUGAUUUAACUGCCUUAUUUCGUUUCCGUAUUUUCCAUUUCUGUCAUUAUUUUAUACUGUAUUCAGGUUAUCUUGUAAGUGACCCGCCUUAGCCUCAUCACUUCGUCAGGGUUAGGCUCGGCACUUAUAGAGUACAUGGGGUUAGUUGUACUCAUACUAUACUUUGCACUUCUUGUGCAGAUUUUGGAGUAGCUCCCAGCGGCGUGUCACGACCCAAAAUCCAACUAGUCGUAAUGGCACUUAACCAAACCCGCUAGGUAAGCCAAUUAACCAUUAUCUAGUGUUAUGAGAUUUAUUAAGAGAAGAAAUAGUAAUACAACUGCUUUUAUAUAAGAAUUUCUAAGGACUAGUAGUACAAGUAAUGAGCUUCUAAGAUUUAGAUUUUUACAAGACUGAAUUGAAAUAAUUACAACAUCUGUUUGAAAUGUAAAUGGAUAGAAUUCGCAUCUGAUACUACCAGGGACAAGUGAUAGCCAAAACUGGAACAUAUGUACAUCUUCAUAUCCAGCACACGCCGUACGCCGCAACAUCCACAUCCAACAUCUGCACGCAAGGUGCAGAAGUGUAGUAUGAGUACAAUCGACCCCAUGUAGUCAAUAAGUAACAAACCUAAUCUUAGGUUGAAAGUAGUAACGAGCUGGGACAAAGGUCAGAUUCCAACUCCAAUAACCAGCCACAGUUCAUAACAAUAUAAUGAAAAUGGUACAAGAAAAUAACUUAGGGAUAAGAUAUUCAACUCGUUCACAGUUAUGAAAAAUAGGCAUGCUUUGCAAGUAUAACAAUAAAUCUCAAUUCUUCCAUCGAAAACACCAAAACAUAUGAGUAAGUUUGUAAACUGUGAGUUUCCCAAAAACCAUCCAAUAAUAAAAAAGAUAUUUCAUUUUUAGAUAACAUGAGAAAAGUACAUCUCUAUGCCUACAGGUAAUUAUGCAGGUGAAAUCAUGAAUGCCACCAAAACCUAGCAUGACGGAAUGCAUGUAUAUGCCUGUUUCUCAAGUACGCAUGCCAAAUGCAAUGCAUCUCAGUGAUGAACUAAUGUACUCACGCUCUCAGGGUACUCAAUCUCACUGUCUCAUAUUCUCACUCACCAUGCUCAAUACUCAGCUCACUCAGUCACUCGAACAUAAAUAAACCCAAGGCAGACCCAGCCCAAUGCAAAUGAAUCCAGGACAGAUCCAACCCAAAAAUCCAUAGCAACUGCGCCCACUAUGGAUGUGCAGACACCGGAGGGGCCAAUCCAUCCCAUGCGCUAUAAUAAGCCAAAUCCUCGCACGAAUAAAUAAAGCAUGUUGCGGUGUGCAGCCCGAUCCCAUAAAUAUCGCUCACAACAUGCCCUCGGCCUUACUCAGUCAUCAAUCUCUCCAGUAUCUCGUGCUCACAAGAAUCAUGAUAAUCAGCCUAAACAAUGACGCUAUGAUGUAUAAAUAAAGGACAACGAGACUGAGAUAUGAUAUGCAAAUAAUAGUUGUGACCGAGUAUAAAUUUCAAAUUUAAGCAAUUAAUUCAACAUGUAACAUGACCUCUGUGGGUCCCAACAGUACCAGCAUAUGGCCUACGUAUGAUUUGUAACAUGGAUCACAGAUCAAUUACUCUAGCACGCAGAGAUUUCACAGUUACAAAUAAGAUUAGGUAACUACACAGUACCACAGAAAUAACCGAGUCAUGAUUAACACGGUGUACGCCCACGCGCCCGUCACCUCAACACCAAACACAUAACACAAAUAUUCGGGGUUCAUACCCUCAGCACCAAGUUUAGAAGUGUUACUUACCUUGAACAAGUAAAAUCCAAUACCGAGCAAGCCAAACGAUGCUCCAAAAAUGCAUCUUGCACGUAUCGACCUCCGAACGGCUCAAAACUAGCCAAAAGCAACUCAAAUACAUCAAAUGAAGCCCAAGGAGCAAUUCCAAAUGAUAAAGGUCUAAUCUUUAAUCAAAAGCCCAUAGUCAACCAAAAAGGAAAACCUGGGCCCACACCUCAGAACCCAGUAAAACUCACAAAAUCCGACAACCCAUUCAAUUGCGAUUUCAACCAUACUAGUUUCGCUCAAAUCUGACUCCGAAUCGAUGUUCAAAACUCAAGAAUUCACUCUAUGAAAAUUUAGUCAAAACCCCUAACUUUCUCUUUUGAAAUCAUCAACCAAAUGCGAAAAAUGAAGAUAGAUUCAUGAAAUAUAAACAAAAUCGAAUAGAGAACACUGCCCCCAAUCCAUAAGGUGAAAAUCGCUUCAAUCUGAGAUUCAUAGCUCCAAUUAUGCAAAAUGGUCGAAACCUCCGAAAGAGAGUACUUUAUAAUAACUGGGCAAAUUAAUGAAUCGCGAUCGCGGAAAAACCAUCAUGAUCGCGAAGAAUAACCUACACUGCCUCCACAAUUAUGCUACGCGAACGUGAAGCACACAGGCGCCCACAGUUUGCGACCGCGUUCAUACAUACGCGAAAGGGAUGAAGAAGCUCCCAACUCCAGCUCUCAACUCAGCCCUAUGCGAACGCGGUAGCUCUUAUGCGAACGUGAUUCCCAAACUCCAUAAACCAACGUGAACGCGGACAGCUACUUGCAAACGUGAAGAAGGAACUACUCCACUCCAGAUUUUUCAUCAACGCGAUCGCACCACUAACUUCGCGAUCACGAAGAAGACUUGGUGCACCAGACCCCAGCAAGAACCAGCAAGGCCAAAAUGAAGGAAAAUGAUCUGAAACACGUACGCAAUUCACUCGAGCCCCUAGGCACCCAGUCCGAACAUGGCAACAAGUCCCAUAACCUAACACGGACCUACUCGAGGCCUCAAAUCACGCAUAACAACAUCAAAAUGAUGAAUCGCACUUCAAAUAAGACCUAAAUAAAUUUUCAACUUCCAAAACACCGAAACAUAUCAAAUCAACCCGUAAUGAACUCAAAUUUUGCACACAAGUCUCAAAUGACAUGACGAAGAUAUUUCAAUUCCUGGAACCACAAUCUGAAUCUGAUAUCCUCAAAGUAGACUCUCGGUCAAACUUAUGAACUUUUCAAGCCUUCAAAUUUCCAACUUUCGCCAAUUAGCACCGAACCCUUCUAGAAUUAUUCAAAUGCAAAUCCGGGCAUACGCCGGAGUCAAAAAUCACCAUCCGGACCUAACAGAACCAUCAAAACUUCAUUACAGGGUCAAAUACAAAAAAGUCAAACUUGGUCAACUCUUCCAACUUAAAGCUUCAAACAUGAAAUUCAUUCUUCCAAAUAACUUCUGAAAAACCUGAAAAAAUCAAAACCGACGAUUCACACAAGUCAUAAUACAUCAUACGGAGCUACUCAUGCCCUCAAACUACCAAGCGAAGUGCAAAUGCUCAAAAUGACCGGUUGGGUCAUUACACAACGGUCAGUAGAUUGCUCGGGUUGACUAUUAGUGUGGAGACUUCAGGUACAGCUGCUCGGCGUUCGCAUCCCUGAAGUCCACUCCUCCUUUCUCUAAGCUGUGUAUUUUUCUUUCAGGCAUAUUUACUUUUGUUCAGACCUUUAUCUGUAGUAUUCAAGUAGCUCGUGCACUUGUGACACCGUAUUCGGGGUUGUAUUAGAUAUUUCGGUUGUUAUGUUUUUUCGCACUUUACUUUAGAAUUUAUCACAGUUAUUUCAGUUUGUUUAUUAUUAUUUAAUUUGAACAGUUAAAAAAUAAAUAAAUUGUUCUAACAUUGGCUUGCCUAGCAAAUGUAAUGAUAGGUGCCAUCACGGUCCCGAGGGUGAGAUUUUCGGAUCGUGACAUCAAGUAAACAGAGACACUAAGAUUGAUCAUAUAGAUUAUGGCCAUUGCUGCUAUAACCACGUAAUAGCACCAUUUAUUUAUCUAUAUAUAUUACAUAAGACAAAUAGUGCCAUUUAUAUAUGAAAUGGCAAUAUAUUCAGAUCCAUUUAUUUUCAGCAAUGGUAAUAGCAAUAGCAAUCUCCAUGAUAGCAAUUGCCAUAAUCUGCAUCUUCCUUGUUCUUGCACCAAUGGUUACACUUCUUGGGAAAGCACUUCCCAUUCCAGCUUUUGCUAGGCUUCCCACAGUGUUUUGCUUCUGUUAUUUGUACCUCUGCACACAGAACCAUAGUAAAGGUACUUAGAAUUCCUCUAGGUUAUUGUAAUGUAUGCUAUAUUUUAAGUGCUGAAACGUAUUUUAUAAGAAGAUAAUUAAGUGUUUGGAUAGAAAUAAUAAAANUGAU